UACGUAGGGGGCGAGCGUUGUCCGGAAUGACUGGGCGUAAAGGGCGUGUAGGCGUCCUGUUAAGUCUGGAGUGAAAGUCCUGCAUUCAAUGUGGGAAUUGCUUUGGAUACUGACAGGCUAGAGUGCGGAAGAGGUAAGUGGAAUUCCCAGUGUAGCGGUGAAAUGCGUAGAGAUUGGGAGGAACACCAGUGGCGAAGGCGACUUACUGGGCCGUAACUGACGCUGAGGCGCGAAAGCGUGGGGAGCGAAC
rnacentral:rRNA from 1 species